GGGAACUGAUUUGUUCUGUGUGUUUAUGGCUCAUUCCAACCCCUCAGGUGUUUAACAUCCAAACCCAGCACCUGCAACGGCCUCCCUUCUGUCACUGUGUGUACAUUCUUCUCCCCCAGGUCCUGCCACGUCCCCACUUCUUCCCUGUGGUAGCUUCAUAGUCACAGAUGUGUGCUAGUCCAGAUGUGGAGCUGAGGAGUGGAGAGUAUAAACACACUAUGAGUAUUUAUGAAACCUAUGGAAAGUUCCAACCUCUCACUGAAAUAAGAGGAGCUAAGAGAUGAGAGUUCUCAAGAGUCUGAUGAGGAAUUGCCAUGACAACAGUGAGACACUGGAGGAAAGCAGUGGUUAAUGGUAGGCCUCCUGACAGAUCCGACCUUGUUGCUACCAGAGCUGUUUGACAAAGUGCUUUUUGAUGUGCAGUAAAAAGACUGGGGUUCAGAUGGGCCCAGCUCACUGGGGAGAUGUAUAAGCAAAGCUGGAUGAGCUAGCCAUGGAGAGCAAGCCAGUAAGCAAAGUUCCUCCACAGUCUCUGCUUCAGUUCCUACAGCCAGGCUCUGGCCUGAGUUCCUUCCUUGAUAUCUCCAUCGUGUGCUGUGAUAUCAUAGUAAAAGUCAAAUAAAUCCUUUUCUCUCCAUGUU
rnacentral:lncRNA from 1 species